rnacentral:lncRNA from 1 species
GCUGUAACGUUUUGAAUGUUAAGACACUAUGAUAAUUUCAAUCUUAAGUCGAACAUUAUUUACAGGAUUAUGUGUUUUUUUUGCCUUUGAUGAACUUUGGUCAUGUAUGACAUUUGUAAUAGACUUUUAACGAACUAUGCGUGAUGUGCUUAUGGUUGCGUGUGCAGUCAAAUCAUUGAGUAAACUAACGGGUGUCAUUCGAUAUAAAGAAAAAUGAUUUUGAAAGAAUAACUAACGGUGGUCAAGCAUUGUGAUAGGAUUGUGAACAUCUGGUAACGGAUUCUAAAUAUAAUAUAGUGUAUUUCUACUACAAAGUCUGCUAUGGAACAAAUCAGAAAAAAAAUAUGUCUGUCAAAAUGAUUCACAUUCCUUAAUAAUUCUAUGCACUACAUUACACUCAUAGAAGUGAGCGGUUUGGCGCAAUAAAACCAGAUUCAAUCCACCAUUUUCUACAUUUGAAAAUGCCUGUACCAAGUUAGGAAUAUGGCAGUUGUUGUCCAUUCGUUUUAUGUAUUUUAUCCUUCGAUUUUGCCUUUGAUUAGCUAUAUAGGGACUUUCCGAAUUUUUCUCGGAGAUCAGUAUUUUUGUGAUUUUACUUUUUACAACAACUUAACUUGAAAUACAUGUUAAGAAAACCCAAAAUGCAACCCACAAUCAUAUAACAAUCUGUUGUAUUUAUAAUGGUCACAUUUUAAUGUAUCAUGGUACAUUUGAAACUUGAUA